UACGUAGGUGGCAAACGUUGUCCGGAUUUACUGGGCGUAAAGAGCGCGCAGGCGGUCGUUCAAGUCGCGUGUGAAAGCCCCCGGCUCAACUGGGGAGGGUCACGCGAUACUGAUCGACUCGAAGGCAGGAGAGGGUAGUGGAAUUCCCGGUGUAGUGGUGAAAUGCGUAGAUAUCGGGAGGAACACCAGUGGCGAAGGCGACUACCUGGCCUGUUCUUGACGCUGAGGCGCGAAAGCUAGGGGAGCAAACGGGG
rnacentral:rRNA from 1 species